AUUGAACGCUGGCGGCGUGCUUAACACAUGCAAGUCGUGCGGUAACAGGCGUAGCAAUACGUGCUGACGAGCGGCGAACGGGUGCGUAAUACAUGGGAAUCUGCCCUUUAGUGGGGAAUAACCCGGCGAAAGCCGGGCUAAUGCCGCAUAAGAUCUUCGGAUGAAAGCGGGGGAUCGUAAGACCUCGCGCUGAUGGAUGAGCCCAUGUCGGAUUAGCAGUUGGUGAGGUAAAGGCUCACCAAGGCGACGAUCCGUAGCUGGUCUGGAGAGGACGGCCAGCCACACUGGGACUGAGACAC
rnacentral:rRNA from 1 species